AGUGAACGCUGGCGGUAGGCCUAACACAUGCAAGUCGAACGGCAGCACAGUAAGAGCUUGCUCUUACGGGUGGCGAGUGGCGGACGGGUGAGGAAUACAUCGGAAUCUACUUUUUCGUGGGUGAUAACGUAGGGAAACUUACGCUAAUACCGCAUACGACCUACGGGUGAAAGCAGGGGAUCUUCGGACCUUUCGCGAUUGAAUGAGCCGAUGUCGGAUUAGCUAGUUGGCGGGGUAAAGGCCCACCAAGGCGACGAUCCGUAGCUGGUCUGAGAGGAUGAUCAGCCACACUGGAACUGAGACACGGUCCAGACUCCUACGGGAGGCAGCAGUGGGGAAUAUUGGACAAUGGGCGCAGGCCUGAUCCAGCCAUACCGCGUGGGUGAAGAAGGCCUUCGGGUUGUAAAGCCCUUUUGUUGGGAAAGAAAAGCAGCAGGUUAAUACCCCGCUGUUCUGACGGUACCCAAAGAAUAAGCACCGGCUAACUUCGUG
rnacentral:rRNA from 1 species